GCGGUUGUGGCGGAACUGGCAGACGCGCAAGAUUCAGGUUCUUGUGCCCGUUUAGGGCGUGGAGGUUCGAAUCCUCUCAACCGCA
rnacentral:tRNA from 1 species